GGAGUAAAUAACGCUGAAAAAUUUGACUAUGUCAUGCAGUUUUUGAAUAAGAUGGCUGGUAAUGAAUAUGUUGGAUUCAGUAAUGCAACGUUUCAGUCUGAAAGAGAAAGUGGAGAUCGAAAUUUUGCAAUAGGAUAUUACUUAAAAGAAAAGAAGUGUUUUCCAGAAGGCACAGACAUGGUUGGUAUAUUAGACUUCUACUUCCAGGUAAUUUAAUUAUGUAAAUCGUAUAUAUAAAUGGAUGUGUCGGCUGGGCGCAGUGGCUCACGCCUGUAAUCCCAGCACUUUGGGAGGCCAGGGCGGGCGGAUCAUGAGGUCAAGAGAUAGAGAUCAUCCUGGCCAACAUGGUGAAACCCCAUCUCUACUAAAAAUACAAAAAUUAGUCGGGUGUGGU
rnacentral:sRNA from 1 species